AGGUUACUGAUUACCAAUGUCCGUUCAGGAUAUCCAAAAGUAAAUCUGAGUCUGUUAUGUGCAGUAUGAUUGAAGGAUACUUAAUUGUCUAAGGUUACUGAUUAUCAAUGUCCGUUCAGGAUAUCCACAAGGUGCGCAUAUAGUAAAUUCUUAAGUAUAGAUCCUACUGUGAUGACAAACUUACCCAGCUCGCUUCGAUCUACCAUG
rnacentral:sRNA from 1 species